rnacentral:rRNA from 1 species
CCUACGGGAGGCAGCAGUGAGGAAUAUUGGUCAAUGGGCGCAAGCCUGAACCAGCCAAGUCGCGUGAGGGAAUAAGGCCCUACGGGUCGUAAACCUCUUUUGCCGGGGAGCAAGAGCAGGUACGUGUCCCCGCCCGGAGAUUACCCAGAAAAAAAGCAUCGGCGAACUCCGUGCCAGACGGCGCGGUAAUACGGAGGAGGCGCGCUUUAUCGGAAUUUAUUGGGUUUAAGGGGUGCGUGGGAGGGAUUUUAAGUCAGAGGGAAAAAUUGGGGGCUAAAACCCGUCGGGUCUUUGACACUGGGGGACUAGAGGGGGCGAGAAGAAGGCGGAAUGUGUGGUGUAGCGGUGAAAUGCAGAGAGAUCACGCAGAAACCCGAUUGCGAAGGCAGAAUUCCGGAGAACUACUGACGCUGAGGAACGAAAGUGCGGGGAUCGAACAGGAUUAGAUACCCUUGUAGUC